rnacentral:lncRNA from 10 species
GGACAUAUUCAGAGAAGCGACAUGGAAACCCGAGUUGGAAACAGUCAGCUGGGGAGGAGAGGGAGCAACUUAUUUGCUGAAUCUUUCCUGCUUUGUUUCUGCCUUUGGUCAAAGUCUUACCCUCAGGACAUCCAUAUCCCAGAAGGUUUUUUUGUUUGUUUGUUUAACCUGGCCAAUUCUCUAGGAAGCAUCCAGGGAAACCCAAGCUUUAUUGGCCAUAAGCCAGACACUGUGUAGGCAUAGGGGUCUCUUUCUGUCAGUUGGCACCAAGCAAAGGGUGCUUCAGUCUGCAGUGUUGGUAUCAGCAGUGGCUAUCAGAACUCUACAACUCUCGGAAUAGCUUCUGCUACAGCUGAUCUGGCCAAGAAACCAGGCAAGUGGCCAAGGCCUGAAGAGGCAUGGCUGAAUUGAUCUAGAGUGGCAGAGCAAGUCACCUUGGAAGAUAACUUUUUUGUUCAGAGAAGAAUCACUGGAAUGGUCCUUUUAAGGCCCCAUCUUCAUCUCCUAAUGGC